GGACGAUUACAUCGCAGCUCGGCAAUGGUUCCAGAAUGGAAUGCGACGAAGAGAGGUGCCUGGCAUCUAGGGAUGAUGUUACUAAUGAAUGGGUUGAAUGAUCCUGUUGUUUCCGGAAGAAUUUAAAAAGUGAACAAGAAGGCGGGGCGGUUAGCAGUUGCAGAAGACUGCCCCCGGCUGGAGACAUUUUGUUUAUAGACAGCACCUAAUACUGCCAAACUACAGCAUGUUAUCAUUACCCAGCAUGAGUCAACAGAAUCAACAGAGGAGCAAAGAACAAAAUGGAAGGAAAAAUCCUGCUAUCAAAAUCAUGCUUUUAUUCUUUG